UGUUUCGGCUAGGGGGCCAUCCCGGCUUACCAACCCGAUGCAAACUGCGAAUACCGGAGAAUGUUAUCACGGGAGACACACGGCGGGUGCUAACGUCCGUCGUGAAGAGGGAAACAACCCAGACCGCCAGCUAAGGUCCCAAAGUCAUGGUUAAGUGGGAAACGAUGUGGGAAGGCCCAGACAGCCAGGAUGUUGGCUUAGAAGCAGCCAUCAUUUAAAGAAAGCGUAAUAGCUCACUGGUCGAGUCGGCCUGCGCGGAAGAUGUAACGGGGCUAAACCAUGCACCGAAGCUGCGGCAGCGAACGUAUCACUUAAAGCGAUUCAGCGGGUUACGAUUGACGGAGCGAAGCGACGUCAAAGCGUAUACAAAGUCGAGUCGGUUUAAGGAUACGUUCGUUGGGUAGGGGAGCGUUCUGUAAGCCUGUGAAGGUGUGUCGUGAGGCAUGCUGGAGGUAUCAGAAGUGCGAAUGCUG
rnacentral:rRNA from 1 species